AGUGAACGCUGGCGGUAGGCCUAACACAUGCAAGUCGAACGGCAGCACAGUAAGAGCUUGCUCUUACGGGUGGCGAGUGGCGGACGGGUGAGGAAUACAUCGGAAUCUACUUUUUCGUGGGGGAUAACGUAGGGAAACUUACGCUAAUACCGCAUACGAACUACGGGUGAAAGCAGGGGAUCUUCGGACCUUGCGCGAUUGAAUGAGCCGAUGUCGGAUUAGCUAGUUGGCGGGGUAAAGGCCCACCAAGGCGACGAUCCGUAGCUGGUCUAAGAGGAUGAUCAGCCACACUGGAACUGAGACACGGUCCAGACUCCUACGGGAGGCAGCAGUGGGGAAUAUUGGACAAUGGGCGCAAGCCUGAUCCAGCCAUACCGCGUGGGUGAAGAAGGCCUUCGGGUUGUAAAGCCCUUUUGUUGGGAAAGAAAAGCAGCAGGUUAAUACCCCGCUGUUCUGACGGUACCCAAAGAAUAAGCACCGGCUAACUUCGUG
rnacentral:rRNA from 1 species